CGCGGUCCUCGGUCCGGGUGGGCUGCAUUGCGCCCCGGGCUAUAACACUCCCCGAGGGGAGCUACAUUCCCGGGGCCUUUCUCCAGCCACCCAAACCGAUGCUGGCCUGGGCGCGGUCGAGUGCACCGGUGCGAGCACCGGGUGAUCGGCCGCGCCCAAGUCUGGUCGCAAGCGCUUCCCUUUCAACAAUUUCACGUACUGUUUAACUCUCUUUCCAAAGUGCUUUUCAUCUUUCGAUCACUCUACUUGUGCGCUAUCGGUCUCUGGCCAAUAUUUAGCUUUAGAUGAAAUUUACCACCCAUUUUGAGCUGCAUUCCCAAACAACUCGACUCGUCGAAAGAGCUUCACACGGGCGCGGCGGCCGGGCACGUACGGGAUUCUCACCCUCUGUGACGUCCUGUUCCAAGGAACUUAGACCGGGGCCGCACCCGAAGCAUCUUCUCCAAAUUACAACUCGGGCCCUGAGAGGGCCAGAUUUCAAAUUUGAGCUGUUGCCGCUUCACUCGCCGUUACUGAGGCAAUCCCUGUUGGUUUCUUUUCC
rnacentral:rRNA from 2 species